GUUUUCAUGGUGUUGGGAGUAAGACUUGGAUGUCUGAUAUUGUUAACAUGUUGGUUAGCAUCAGGUUUCCAUUGGGUUACUUGCUGGGAUAAAGCUGUUAUAAGUCGAAAGAGUUGCUGUUGCUGCCUUCCUUGUAUGGUAAAAUCCUCAGACUACAAUCCUGCAUACCAUUGGAUGAACUGUUGCUAUCUUUUGU